rnacentral:rRNA from 1 species
UCUUGGUCAUUUAGAGGAAGUAAAAGUCGUAACAAGGUCUCCGUUGGUGAACCAGCGGAGGGAUCAUUACCGAGUUUACAACUCCCAAACCCCUGUGAACAUACCAUUUGUUGCCUCGGCGGUGCCUGCUUCGGCAGCCCGCCAGAGGACCCAAACCCUUGAUUUUAUACAGUAUCUUCUGAGUAAAUGAUUAAAUAAAUCAAAACUUUCAACAACGGAUCUCUUGGUUCUGGCAUCGAUGAAGAACGCAGCGAAAUGCGAUAAGUAAUGUGAAUUGCAGAAUUCAGUGAAUCAUCGAAUCUUUGAACGCACAUUGCGCCCGCCAGUAUUCUGGCGGGCAUGCCUGUUCGAGCGUCAUUUCAACCCUCAAGCCCCCGGGCUUGGUGUUGGAGAUCGGCGUGCCCUCCGGGGCGCGCCGGCCCCCAAAUAUAGUGGCGGUCUCGCUGUAGCUUCCUCUGCGUAGUAGCACACCUCGCACUGGGAAACAGCGUGGCCACGCCGUUAAACCCCCCACUUCUGAAAGGUUGACCUCGGAUCAGGUAGGAAUACCCGCUGAACUUAAGCAUAUCAAUAAGCGGAGGAAAAGAAACCAACAGGGAUUGCCCUAGUAACGGCGAGUGAAGCGGCAACAGCUCAAAUUUGAAAUCUGGCCCUCGGGUCCGAAUUGUAAUUUGUAGAGGAUGCUUUUGGUGAGGUACCUUCCGAGUUCCCUGGAACGGGACGCCAUAGAGGGUGAGAGCCCCGUCUGGUUGGAUACCGAUCCUCUGUAAAGCUCCUUCGACGAGUCGAGUAGUUUGGGAAUGCUGCUCUAAAUGGGAGGUAUAUGUCUUCUAAAGCUAAAUAUCGGCCAGAGACCGAUAGCGCACAAGUAGAGUGAUCGAAAGAUGAAAAGCACAAUGAAAAGAGAGUUAAAAAGUACGUGAAAUUGUUGAAAGGGAAGCSCUCMUGACCAGACUUGGGCUUGGUUGAUCAUCCAGGGUUCUCCCUGGUGCACUCKUCCAGCCCAGGCCAGCAUCAGUUCGCUGCGGGGGAUAAAGGCUUUGGGAAUGUGGCUCCUCCGGGAGUGUUAUAGCCCAUUGUGUAAUACCCUGUGGUGGACUGAGG